UGUCUUCGGGGCAGGGUGAAAUUCCCGAUCGGCGGUAGAGUCCGCAAGCAUUUUGCAUGAACCGGUGUGAUUCCGGUACCGACAGUUACAGUCUGGAUGGAAGAAGAG
rnacentral:ncRNA from 1 species